UACGUAGGGUGCAAGCGUUAUCCGGAAUUAUUGGGUUUAAAGGACGCGUAGGCGGUUACUUAAGUCAGAGGUGAAAGUUUGCAGCUCAACUGUAAAAUUGCCUUUGAUACUGGGUUGACUAGAGAGGUUUCGACGUGGAUGGAAUGUGUGGUGUAGCGGUGAAAUGCGUAGAUAUCACACGGAACACCAAUUGCGAAGGCAGUUCACGAGAAAAACUCUGACGCUGAGGCGUGAAGGUAUGGGGAGCAAACAGG
rnacentral:rRNA from 1 species